UGUUUAGCAGAGGAACAUUGUGCCCCCCCCC
rnacentral:piRNA from 1 species